UUGACAUGCUUUGCAUGGCAGGCUCCCUGCACKUAUGUGCGGCCAACUGUCAUGGGGCGGUAUGUUCACUAUCCCUUUAAUAUGCAUUAUUGCUGUCUUGGGAUGUUUGCUGUAUGGUUGCCUGUGUGCUASUACCCUCGUCGGUAGCAUGAUUGUCCCGCGUUGUUGUAUGUUUAGCUUGCUCUGUUGAUGMUGUUCAUCAACGUGUGGCCGAGGUGUCAGCAAAUUCCAUGUGUMGCCAUGUGCNNNNNNNAUGAGUUGCAUUUGGUUGUUUGCUGGUUCUCACGGAUAUGGUGCCCGUUGGGAGGUAUACGGGCUUCUAGCUUGUAGACCUUGCGAGGUUUGCCCUUGCACAGAUCAUAGCUCCCGAUGUGUCUCAGUCAUGUCGUGGUUUCUGCGUCAUGCUGGGAGUCCCUCUUGCACAGGGCUUGAUUAUGUGCUUGUGGCGUGCCUCUCUGACCGAAUGACUUGCGAUUGCCGGUUUUUGUUGUCACAAGG
rnacentral:misc_RNA from 1 species